AUUCGCGAAUUACGCGUCAAUGCAUCUGCCGUGCAGGAAAGCGCGACGAAUAGUCAAUUGUAAAAUUGUUAUUGGUGGUCCAAGUCUAAAAUACGUCCUGCUACCGUAAUUUACCUCGGCCCAUACCCUUCGUCGCGACCCUCUCGCCGGGUAUAAGCGGUCGAACGACAUUAAAGCUCGUGCCAUUGUUCCGACGUGUAUUCACUCCGAACUUCAACCACGACCGAUGUCAGUUGGCACAGGGUUGGCUGGGAUAACCGACCAACCUAUCACGCGUCAAAAUAAACCUUGUUUCGCCGAACGCGCGGCAAGUCACGUGGAAAAAAUAUCGCGGACGAAUACAGACAGCGUGAAAAAAUACGGUGUCAGGAUAGUUCACGUCAUGCGAGCCACGGUUCUCCGAUAUUUACCGACGAACAAAUCAAGUGUGGACACGUUCGUUUUACCAAGAAAUUGGGCCAGAUAUGUUACGAGAUUCUGCGUGUUACGCUCUGUUUCUCGUUCGUACAUUUCGAGGGAUUCGCAUUUCGAUGAUUAUUAAUGUGUCGAGGAGUGUUAAAUAUAAAUUGCACGAAUAUUCCGACGUUGGAAAUAAGAAUAUCUAACACUCAUAUAUGCAGGUUACUACUAAAAGGAGCAUGGAGAUCGAAACGAAUUUAAGUGUGAGAAACAGAUGACCGAAUCUGUUACUGAAAAUGUUUCAAUCAACAAUAUUCUAUCGGUAUUCAAGGACGUAAUUUUACCGCAAUUACGGUCAACAUCCAGUAAAAUCGCGGAGCAGUUAAACACUCGACGGAUGCACGAACCAAAAACUACUACAAUGUCACCACCAAUUUUUAUGCAAUCCAACACUCUUUUGACAGCUAGUAACUCGGAACAACAAGCGACGAGUAAAGAAACGGACGUACAAGGGAAUAAGCAGUUUGAUCUACAAAUGGUAGAGAGGAACCUUAAGCAGCAACGGGGAUGCGCUACCGGUAGAGACGGACCC